rnacentral:rRNA from 1 species
GUGCCAGCAGCCGCGGUAAUACGUAGGUGGCAAGCGUUGUCCGGAAUUAUUGGGCGUAAAGCGCGCGCAGGCGGUCUUUUAAGUCUGAUGUGAAAGCCCCCGGCUCAACCGGGGAGGGUCAUUGGAAACUGGAAGACUUGAGGACAGAAGAGGAGAGUGGAAUUCCAAGUGUAGCGGUGAAAUGCGUAGAUAUUUGGAGGAACACCAGUGGCGAAGGCGGCUCUCUGGUCUGUUACUGACGCUGAGGCGCGAAAGCGUGGGGAGCAAACAGGAUUAGAUACCCUGUAGUCC